GCCAUUUAUUGCCCACUUCCCUUGCUCUAUCUACCAUUAGGAAUUGCCUGUCUGCAACGUGUGUCUCAAGAAUCCCAGGCCAGUCUCAAACCGGAAGUGUAGCUGAGGAUGACUUUGAACUCUCUGUCCUCCCGCCUGCCCUUUGGGACUACAGAAGAACCUGGGAAGCUUUGACUGUUUUCCUCUGCCUGCUGUGCUGUUCUCCUCCUGCAAGGCAGCAUCCCACCUUUCUGCCAGCUCCACUGCUGGCCAUUCUUCUCCACAGCAAACAAAACUACACAAAAGCCUCCCAUACUUUCCUAGACUCUACACACCUCAGAUCUGUUCAACUCCUGGCCUAGAGUAGAGUGUCCCCUGUGUACAAUUAAGCAGGAUAAGUCAGUUCUGGGACACAGUUCUUCAGUUUCAUUUUGUCAGACUCAAUCAACUGGGAAUGCCGGUCCUCAUAAAAUAUCUGGCACUGUGGAGAGUCCCAUGGGGCAGGCCAGUUUGUGUGAGAGUCUGUCCUCUUAGAGAGCCCCAGUAAAUUUCCAUUUGGCAUGUCAGAGACUGGAUCUACAUGGGAUAUGCAUUUGCAGCUGUCUGAGGCCCAGGGUUGGGGGAACAGAAACACGAGACUCAAUUCCUGCCCUGAGGUCUCUGUGAAGAUUGUUAGGAUACCUUCUGUUAGCUAUCACUGUCUGGAGUCCUUUGCUUUAAAAAAAUAAAUAAAUAAAUAAAUAAAUAAUCCAUUUUCAAUAUCCCAAUCACAUGACCAAGUUGUAGCUAUUUUCAUAGUUAGCCAUUUUAUGGUUACCACACUGUGUGUGACAAUAUAAUUUAUGACCAUGGCUUUCUCCCCUCCCACCAUUUCUUUCUACUAUAGGGCGUCACCACGCUGUCUCAGCUGGCUUGGAUUAUGUAGGUAGGACUGGCCUACUACUCACAGAAAUCUGCCUGCCUCUGCUUCUCUGGACCUCUUCUUAGUGUUUUUGGGGAAAUAGCUUUUAUACUGCGAACAUCACAGAUGGCUGAAGUAUAAACUCUAAGUCACACCACCCUU